rnacentral:rRNA from 1 species
UGCUAAUACCGGAUAAGAAAGCGGAUCGCAUGAUCAGCUUUUAAAAGGCGGCGUAAGCUGUCGCUAUGGGAUGGCCCCGCGGUGCAUUAGCUAGUUGGUAAGGUAAAGGCUUACCAAGGCGAUGAUGCAUAGCCGAGUUGAGAGACUGAUCGGCCACAUUGGGACUGAGACACGGCCCAAACUCCUACGGGAGGCAGCAGCU